AUGCAGCGGGAGCCCUCGCAGGACCAGCAGGACCAUCUCCUCCAUGCAUGUGGCCUCGCUGUGCGCUCACCUCAAGAACUCGUCUCUGGGACUGGCCGGUUGUUGGGUGUGAAGGCUUCAAGGUUAUUUCGCGGAGCUGGAGCGCUGGCCGCGCAGGCCCUGAGGGCCCGCGGCCCUCUUGGGCUGGCUGCCGUCCGCUCUAUAGCUUCUGGAGGUGGUAUCCCUACUGAGGAGAAGCAGGUGACUGGCCUGGAGAGAGAGAUCAUGCUGGCGGCCCAGAAGGGACUGGACCCGUACAAUAUACUAGCCCCAAAGGGGGCUUCAGGCACCAAGGAAGACCCUAAUUUAGUCCCGUCCAUCACCAACAAGCGAAUAGUGGGCUGCAUCUGUGAAGAGGACAACAGCGCUGUCAUCUGGUUUUGGCUGCACAAAGGCGAGGCUCAGCGGUGCCCAAGCUGUGGAGCCUAUUACAAGCUGGUGCCUCACCAGCUGGCCCACUGACCACCCCCCCCACGGACUCCCUCGAACGUGCUGUAAAGUCUCUUUCCAAUAAAGACGAGCUGGGUAUCAGCUCCUUCCCUCGG